rnacentral:rRNA from 1 species
GUCUUUGAACGCAAGUUGCGCCCCAAGCCAUUAGGCCGAGGGCACGUCUGCCUGGGUGUCACGCAUCGUUGCCCCCCUCAACACUCGUGAGGGGCGGACAAUGGCCUCCCGUGCGCUUCCCGCUCGCGGCUGGCCCAAAUGCCAGGUCCCGGCGACCGGAGUGCCGCGACGAUCGGUGGUAAGCAUACCUAUUCCCGCGUCGUGCGUGCUAGUCGUUCGUUCGGACCCAUGCUCUAGACCCUGAUGCGUCGCUUGUUCGAUGCUCGCAUCGCGACCCCAGGUCAGGCGGGAUCACCCGCUGAGUUUAAGCAUAUCAAUAAGCGGAGGAAAAGAAACUUACCAGGAUUCCCCUAGUAACGGCGAGCGAACCGGGAAGAGCCC